GACGAACGCUGGCGGCGUGCUUAACACAUGCAAGUCGAACGGAAAGGCCCUGCUUUUGUGGGGUGCUCGAGUGGCGAACGGGUGAGUAACACGUGAGUAACCUGCCCUUGACUUUGGGAUAACUUCAGGAAACUGGGGCUAAUACCGGAUAGGAGCUCCUGCUGCAGGGGGGGGGUUGGAAAGUUUCGGCGGUUGGGGAUGGACUCGCGGCUUAUCCGCUUGUUGGUGGGGUAGUGGCUUACCAAGGCUUUGACGGGUAGCCGGCCUGAGAGGGUGACCGGCCACAUUGGGACUGCGAUACGGCCCAGACUCCUACGGGAGGCAGCAGUGGGGAAUAUUGCACAAUGGGCGGAAGCCUGAUGCAGCAACGCCGCGUGCGGGAUGACGGCCUUCGGGUUGUAAACCGCUUUCGCCUGUGACGAAGCGUGAGUGACGGUAAUGGGUAAAGAAGCACCGGCUAACUACGUG
rnacentral:rRNA from 1 species